AAAACAAAGGUAAAUAGCAAGGAGUUAUGAAGUCAAACCCUAGAACCUCGUUUAUCCACACUAGAAAUAAUUUCUCCAAGAAUAGGCUCCGGGUAGGGAUUCCAUUCAAGGCAAGUAUUGCAUUGGACAUCGCAGCCAGCUGAAUUAUAUACAUAACUAAACCCAAUAUCCAUUCUAUUUCUGCUCCCUCCAAAAUAAAAAUAAAAAGUGAAAACAAAUAAUAACAAAAAUAAUAGGACAACGG
rnacentral:lncRNA from 1 species